UACGGAGGGUGCAAGCGUUAUCCGGAUUCACUGGGUUUAAAGGGUGUGUAGGCGGGUAUUUAAGUCAGUGGUGAAAUCUCCGAGCUUAACUCGGAAACUGCCAUUGAUACUAUUUGUCUUGAAUAUUGUGGAGGUAAGCGGAAUAUGUCAUGUAGCGGUGAAAUGCUUAGAUAUGACAUAGAACACCAAUUGCGAAGGCAGCUUACUACACAAUGAUUGACGCUGAGGCACGAAAGCGUGGGGAUCAAACAGG
rnacentral:rRNA from 1 species